GAGUUUGAUCGUGGCUCAGAUUGAACGCUGGCGGCAUGCCUUACACAUGCAAGUCGAACGGUAACAGGUCUUCGGAUGCUGACGAGUGGCGAACGGGUGAGUAAUACAUCGGAACGUGCCCGAUCGUGGGGGAUAACGAAGCGAAAGCUUUGCUAAUACCGCAUACGAUCUACGGAUGAAAGCAGGGGACCGCAAGGCCUUGCGCGAACGGAGCGGCCGAUGGCAGAUUAGGUAGUUGGUGGGAUAAAAGCUUACCAAGCCGACGAUCUGUAGCUGGUCUGAGAGGACGACCAGCCACACUGGGACUGAGACACGGCCCAGACUCCUACGGGAGGCAGCAGUGGGGAAUUUUGGACAAUGGGCGAAAGCCUGAUCCAGCCAUGCCGCGUGCAGGAUGAAGGCCUCGGUUGUAACU
rnacentral:rRNA from 1 species